rnacentral:rRNA from 1 species
UACAGAGGUCCCAAGCGUUGUUCGGAUUCAUUGGGCGUAAAGGGUGCGUAGGUGGGCAGGUAAGUCAGUGGUGAAAUCUCCGGGCUUAACUCGGAAACUGCCAUUGAUACUAUCUGUCUUGAAUACCGUGGAGGUUAGCGGAAUAUGUCAUGUAGCGGUGAAAUGCUUAGAUAUGACAUAGAACACCAAUUGCGAAGGCAGCUGGCUACACGAAUAUUGACACUGAUGCACGAAAGCGUGGGGAUCAAACAGG